rnacentral:lncRNA from 1 species
UGCCGGCCGCGGAAACCCCGUGUACCUUGCGCAGUCACUAAUUAAUCCCAGAAGACGGCACCAGCUAAGUGGAAAUGCGUUAUUUGAAAAAGAUGGAAGGAAACCAGCCGCCAUAAGAAACCAGAGAGGGAGGGCAACUCUUUGCGUCACUGUGGAAAACCAAAACGAUGGAGGAGAUGGUUUGCAAAACGCAAACUCAAACUCAGUCCCUGACAGUAAGUGCUGGAAAUAGCAGUUCCAGCGUGGAGACUUUUCAAUGGCGGCCUUGGGACUGCGCGGCUCUGGGGACAUUUCUCAGUGUCACGUGGGGCGUUUUUACUCACUGUUCACUUCUGGACGCUUUUAGAAAAUCUGAAUUUUCUGUUUCUCAACUCAGUUUCUUUCUCUUCUGCCCCCAAAUCACGCGUUCUCUUCUCUCUGAGUGAAUUGCUAAAUAGGAAGGACAUCUAUCUCUACAUGGUCAAGCUUUGCUGUUUGCCUUUAAACACGUUUCCCAGGUCUUGAAAACAUCGAAACGUCUCCAAGUCCUGUGUUCCCUUUUCUGGGGACGUGACUGUGGCUGUGAGGUUCCCGUCCCAAAGCGCAGACCCACCUGGCGUCUCUGCCAGCGCCUCCUCUGCCAGCCUCUGGCACUGCGCAUGCCCAGCUGCCUUCUCGCCUGUGCAGCAGACAUGUGACCUGAGCUGGCCAAUCAGAGCGGUUGCGCUGCGGCAGGGCUGACAUGUGGUCAAUCAGAACCUUCUGGGCGGAUCUCUGGAUAAUUGGGCAGACCGGUCACAGGUGCUAUGAACCCAUUAGUGGGCGGUGGGCCUCUCUGUGCCACCUGCCUGAGAGACGUACGCCCAGAGCAAGGCCAGGCCGCCAACGGUAGAGAGCUUCCUGGUGACAUCCUCUGAGCCUGUGGACCUGGGCCGGCCUGAGCCAUCUUGUCCUGGACUUCCAGAUUUAGGAUCCAAUGCACUCCUCUUUGUCGCUAAGACAAUUUAGACAUGGUUGAACAUGCUGGGCACAGGGGACAUGCCGGAAAACAAGACAGACACAGCCCCGGCCCAUCAAUCCUAGCGCCUGCGCAACGCUGGAGCAUCCCACCUUGCCCAUUCCUCCUCCUCCCACCCCAAGACCCCACCUUCACACACGCACACAUGCACACACACAUGCGCGCACGCUCAGCGGCUUCAUGUUCCCACACGCCUCCUUUCCUCUGCCCAGUCGCUCUUCCCCACCUCCCCUCUUCCUGCCUCGCAGUCCCCUGGCUAAUUCUUCUGAAAUCCUUGUGAAUCAAGCUCAGCUGUGGCCUCCCCUCCUCCACUCCCUCGGCCCUUUGCUCCCCCUCAUGCUCUAGGCUGUGGAGAGCCCGCCCGCCCCCGUUCCCAGCUUCCCCCGAGGUGGUGGGCCCUUGGCUCACAGCACAGUCCCCGUCCGGAGAACUUGGCAAACAUCUGCAGCGCCCAGCUGAGCCCCUGGAGCUCCUUCUUGUGGAUUAUAAACUUAAAGAACUUAUUUCAAGAAGCUUCCCAGACUGGAAGAGGAGGGGAGAGCCUCGGAAAAGUUCUAGAGGAGCCCAUUCUCAGCCAGUUCCUCCUGAGCCAUGGGGUAUGUGGGAGCACGUCUACAGCCCUGAGACCAAUGCUGUUCGCUCAUCAAUGAAUGUUCCCGGAGACUGGGGCCGGGGUCUCUGCCGGGCCGGAGAUGGGGGUGAAGGAGCCAAGACCACCUCCCUCAGGGUCCUGCCACCCUCUGCCUUCUGUCUUUCAUCAGAGCCUGGAGGCCCUGGGCUGGAGGCCAUGGGGUGUGGCUUGGGGACUGCUACCCGGAACGCAAAGUGUCAGAGCUGCAGAGGCUCCUGGGCUGUCGAAACACCCCCCAUACACAGAUGUACUCGGCCUGGGUUUCCAGGGCACUGGUGACAAACUGGGUUCAAGGCCCCGCAUCCCCUCAGGUGCAUAGGCCCUAGCGUAGGGCCUGAACACCUCACGUUCCUCUUUGCCGGGGCGUUUACUGAGUGUCUGCUCUGCAUCCAGCACUGUACACACAGCCCUCCCACAACCUUACAGUUUACAGAUGGGGAAAACGAGGGGCAGAGGCCUAAGGGACUGUGCAGGCCCCCACCCAGCUGGAUGAGGGGCAUUCAGGGUCACGAGCUCAGCCUGGUACCGCCCAAUCCCAGCGUUUCCUGAGAAUGGGGACUCGUCGGAGCUGAGCCCGCAAGACUGAGUGAGGGGGCUUCUCUGACACCCCAGGGGCAGGAACCCACAGGACAGAGUAGGUGGGGCCCUGGGCGGGGGAGACAAGAGGAGUUCCAGGGAGGAGAGAUAGCUGUGGCCUCAGCGCCUGGGCAGCACCUCCUCGUGGCUCUCCAUCCCACAAGCUUCCCA